rnacentral:rRNA from 1 species
UACGGAAGGCAGCAGUGGGGAAUAUUGCACAAUGGGCGCAAGCCUGAUGCAGCCAUGCCGCGUGUAUGAAGAAGGCCUUCGGGUUGUAAAGUACUUUCAGCGGGGAGGAAGGCGAUGCGGUUAAUAACCGCGUCGAUUGACGUUACCCGCAGAAGAAGCACCGGCUAACUCCGUGCCAGCAGCCGCGGUAAUACGGAGGGUGCAAGCGUUAAUCGGAAUUACUGGGCGUAAAGCGCACGCAGGCGGUCUGUUAAGUCAGAUGUGAAAUCCCCGGGCUUAACCUGGGAACUGCAUUUUGAAACUGGCAGGCUUGAGUCUUGUAGAGGGGGUAGAAUUCCAGGUGUAGCGGUGAAAUGCGUAGAGAUCUGGAGGAAUACCGGUGGCGAAGGCGGCCCCUGGGACAAAGCUGACGCUCAGGGUGCGAAAGCGUGGGGAGCAAACAGGGAUUAGGAUACC